rnacentral:rRNA from 1 species
UGGGGAAUAUUGGACAAUGGGCGCAAGCCUGAUCCAGCCAUGCCGCGUGAGUGAUUAAGGCCCUAGGGUUGUAAAGCUCUUUCACCGUUGAUGAUAAUGACGGUAACCGGAGAAGAAGCCCCGGCUAACUCCGUGCCAGCAGCCGCGGUAAUACGAAGGGGGCUAGCGUUGUUCGGAUUUACUGGGCGUAAAGCGAACGUAGGCGGACUUUUAAGUCAGGGGUGAAAUACCGGGGCUCAACCCCGGAAGUGCCUUUGAUACUGGAAGGCUUGAGGAAGGUAGAGGUGAGGGGAAUUCCGAGUGUAGAGGUGAAAUUCGUAGAUAUUCGGAGGAAAAGCAGUGGCGAAGGCGGCUCACUGGACCAUUAAUGACGCUGAGGAGCGAAAGAGUGGGGAGCAAACAGG